rnacentral:rRNA from 1 species
UGGGGAAUAUUGGACAAUGGGGGGAACCCUGAUCCAGCCAUGCCGCGUGUGUGAAGAAGGCCUUAUGGUUGUAAAGCACUUUAAGCGAGGAGGAGGGUACUGGUAUUAAUACUACCAGCUACUGGACGUUACUCGCAGAAUAAGCACCGGCUAACUCUGUGCCAGCAGCCGCGGUAAUACAGAGGGUGCGAGCGUUAAUCGGAUUUACUGGGCGUAAAGCGUGCGUAGGCGGCUAAUUGAGUCGGAUGUGAAAUCCCCGAGCUUAACUUGGGAAUUGCAUUCGAUACUGGUUAGCUAGAGUGUGGGAGAGGAUGGUAGAAUUCCAGGUGUAGCGGUGAAAUGCGUAGAGAUCUGGAGGAAUUCCGAUGGCGAAGGCAGCCAUCUGGCCUAACACUGACGCUGAGGUACGAAAGCAUGGGGAGCAAACAGG